GAGCGAUUGCAAUCAACUUUUCUUUGGGGUGGCUCUGACCAUGGAAGAAAAGUUCAUAUGGUCUGAUGGGAGGUGAUUACUAAAAAUAAGAAACUAGGUGGGUUAGGUGCAAGGAGGAUUAAAACUUUGAAUCAAUGUCUACUAUUAAAAUGGUAGUGGAGAUUUGGUGUUGAGAAUCAAUCGCUUUGGAAUGAAGUGAUUUGUGCCAAAUAUGUGCCUGUGGAUGGUAGAUGGUUCCCAAAACUAACUGGCAGAGGAUCAAAGCUCUGGACUGAUAUAGUACAUGUCAUUUUAUCCAAUCCUGAGCUAUACCAAUUUUAUAUUACUAAUUCUUAGUUGGUUCUGAGGGACGAGAGAAGAGUUCUUUUUUUGAGAGACAAGUGGGUGGGUAAUGUAUGCUUAAUGGAUGAAUUCCCAAGGCUUUUCUUAUUAUCUAAUGAUAAAAAUGGUGUGGUUAGUGUGUUUUUUGAAAGAAGGGUAGAGGCUAGUAGAUGGAACCUGCGAUUUAGAAGAUCUUUGCUGGUCUGGAAAGAGGAAGAAGCCCAUAGACUAUUCAAUCUCCUGAGCUCUGCCCCAACUCUGUGUAGUUCCAGACCAGAUGAGCUUAAAUGGUGUGAAGAACCAUCUAAGCUUUUUACUGUCUUUUCAGUAUAUAAAUGGACUGAAUCAUUUCUAGGACCUGUAGUACCAGUGGCUGCUUCAAUUUGGAACAACUUUGCGCCCCCAAAAGUGCAAUUCUUUGUGUGGUUGGUUUGGCUUGGCAAGGUUAAAACCUCUUAUUUCCUUCAUCGAAUUGGUAUCUUUGCAGAAAGUGAAAAUCUUGGCUGUGUGUUUUGUCGUAAUGAGGUGAACAUAGUGAAACAUAUUUUGAUUUUCUGCCCUUUUGUGUGGCUGCUUUGGUCCGACAUUAUACACUAGUGGGGAUUGCAGUGGGUGAUACCAGGUUCAAUGAAUGGUUUGUUGCAAUGGUGGUUUGGAUGUAGAAUGCAGAAGCUGGUGAAGAAAAUAUGGAUGGUUAUAUCUUUGGCCACUCUCUAGUCCACAUGGAAGCAUAGAAAUGAUUGUAUUUUAACCGUACUCAACCAAAUUUGGAAGCUCUGCGUGAAUUAGUGAAGGUGAAGUACUGCAUCAGGAAUGGAGGUUAGAGGCUAGAGGUUGAAUAAUGAUUGGUGCUUGGAAGCAGGGCUACUGGCUGGAGGGUGUCUACUUGUCUGGCUGCUGUGGCUGGCUUACUGGUAGUUGCUGACUUUUGUAGAAUGUCUGAAGGGUUACUUUGCUUUGAAUUGUUUGGCCAAUUAGUCAAGGUUGAAGGGCUGCCUGUUGCUUUGAGUUGCUUUGAUCAAUUGGGAUAGAGUCCAAGGCAGUGUAGAUGUGUUGCUCUGCUGGUUUCAGG